GAGACAGAGGCAGAGAUGGGCACACCCACAGCAGGGCUCAGACAGGGACUGAAGGUCCCAGGCAGAGAUGGUCCCUUUAUCUUGAAAAGAUUCACAGUCCUGACCCCUCUCAGAAGAUACACACCUCCUUCCCACAAGGUGACAAGCCAGUGCCUAGGCUGGGAGGUGGUUACAGGUAUUCAGUGCCUUCUGCUAGUGCAGGGCUGGGAAGAAUUGUCUUCAGAGAUCUCCCCAGUGUGUAGCUGAGUUCCCAGAUCAUUGCAACAUUCUUCUUGUUGAGAAGAACAAACAUGGAUAUAGUCAAUCUAGUCAGUUUUUCCACAGGGCCUUGGGAAACAUGAAUUAUUACACUCUAGUCAAUAAACAAUCUUAGGACAAAAUACAAAUACAGUUGCAGCAAAGAAGUAGCAGAGGUAGUAACAAAAACUACAGCAGACUGCACAAGACAGUGUAUGUAGACACCAGACUAUUUUUCUAAAAUGGUUAGAAGACAUAUGAAAGCAUACAGUACAUCAGAGAGUAAAAAUGUCUUCUAAGACUUCCAUAUUUAUUUAAAAAACCAACUAAACAACAGGAAAAAACCCCCAAACAAAACAAAACAAAAGCCAACCAAGCUAGAAAUUUGAAUUCCUCUGUGGCUUGGGAGAAAUUUUUAGGAUAAAAAACAGAUUGAUGGUGGAAGAUUAAAAACAAAACUUCAAAGAACUCUAGGUACAUGUUACUGCUUGGGAGAAAGAGAAAACCAGACACCUUCCCCCCUCAAAAAAAAAAAAAAAAAAAAAAGAACCCAACCAACCAAAACCAUCCUUAAG